UAUCUGCCGUGGGCGUUGGAAACUUGAAGGGAGCUGCUCCUAGUACGAGAGGACCGGAGUGGACGUACCCCUGGUGUUCCGGUUGUCACGCCAGUGGCACUGCCGGGUAGCUAUGUACGGACGGGAUAACCGCUGAAAGCAUCUAAGCGGGAAGCCCACCCUAAGAUAAGGUUUCCCUGGACCUUUAAGGUCCCUGAAGGGUCGUCGGAGACUACGACGUUGAUAGGCCGGGUGUGGAAGCGCAGUAAUGUGUGAAGCUAACCGGUACUAAUUACCCGUGAGGCUUGACCAUAUAACACCCAAGCGGUCU
rnacentral:rRNA from 1 species